CCGAAUAUCUGAUGUGAGAAAUUCAAUAUUAUUUAAUGUAAUUCAUUUUUGAAAUUAUUUUAAAUAGUAUGCACUUUUCUCAUAGUAAGACAUUGUAAUCCAUUGAUAUUAUAUCUUUAUUUGUUUAAAGAUGAUUUAACAUACGGACAAAAUGUAUAUGAUUAUUCUACAAAUGAUAUGUUUUACAUAUUAUAUGAAUAAAAUCGUUUUGUACCUGUUUAAAUAGUUGAUGGAUUUUUUAAUUAAAAUCAUGCUUGCAAUUUAUUUUGCGUUUCGUAUCAUUAAUUUUUAAUUGAUGAUAGCAGAAAUGGCAUGUAUUUGAUUAACAAUGCGAUAGAUUUGGGAUGCCUUCGGGACCCGUCUUGA
rnacentral:rRNA from 1 species